rnacentral:rRNA from 1 species
AAUAUUGGUCAAUGGGAGAAAGACUGAUCCAGCCAUGCCGCGUGUGUGAAGAAGGCAGUCGGAUAGUAAAGCACAUUAAGUUGGGAGGAAGGGCCGCCAGUUAAAACAUUGCUGAUUUGACGAUACCGCCAGAAUAGGGAUCGACUAACUUUGUGCGAGCUGCCGCGGUAAUACGAAGGGUGCAAGCGUUAAUCGGAAUUACUGGGCGUAAAGCGCGCGUAGGUGGUUGGUUAAGUUGGAAGUGAAGGCCCGGGGCUCAACCUGGGAACUGCUUGCAAAACUGGCAAGCUAGAGUAUGGCAGAGGAUGGUGGAAUUUCCUGUGUAGCGGUGAAAUGCGUAGAUAUAGGAAGGAACACCAGUGGCGAAGGCGACCACCUGGGCUAAUACUGACACUGAGGUGCGAAAGCUUGGGGGGCAAAC